rnacentral:rRNA from 1 species
AUUAAAGCAUUAAGGGAAUGCCUUAACAUCAUAAAUAAUUGGACGUUAUAUAAACGAAAUUUUAUAACGAGUAUUUAAAAUAUGCUGAGAGUUGUAAAAAUCCAAAAAAAAAAAUUAUCUUUGUUUUUAAUUAAGAUUUUAUUAUUUUAAAUAAUAAUUUUAUAACAAUAGUGAACUGAAUCAUCUUAGUAACUAAAACAAAAAUCAAUCGAGGUAUCGUAAGUAGUGGCGAGCGAAAACGAUUUAAUAGACUAAUUUAAAAACGUAUAAAAUAAAUUAUUAAAUUUCUAAAAAAGCCAAAGAAGGAAAAAUACAUAUAUUUAGCCCUGUAUAAUAAUUUAUUUGUUUUUUAAAAUAAGUAAAAUAAUACAUGUCGUGUAUUAUUCGAAUAAUGGGGGACCACCCUCAAAGUCUAAAUAAAAUUUAUGGUGAUUGAUAGUGAAUAAGUACCGUGAGGGAAUGGUGAAAUAGAAUUUAUGAAAUUUAAAAGAACCUGAAACUUAAUGCUAACAAUCAGUUGAAGCUUAUAAAAGUAACAGCGUACCUUUUGCAUAAUGGAUCAACAAGUUUAUUUUAGUGGCGAGCUUAAAUUUAUAAAUGUAGGCAUAAAUAAAUUAAGUUUUAAAUUGCUUUAUAGUCUCUAUAAUAAAACCCGAAACUAAGUGAUCUAACCAUGAACAGGUUGAAUUUAUAGCGGUAACGCUUAUUGGAGGACCGAACCCAUGUCUGUGGAAAAAUACUGGGAUGAUUUGUGGUUAGGGGUGAAAGGCCAAUCAAACUUAGAGAUAGCUGGUUUUCUGCGAAAUCUAUUUUAGUAGAGCGUUUAAAAACUUUAUUUUGGGGUAAAGCACUCGAUAAAUAAUGGGAACGUAAAGUUUUACUGCAUUUAAUGAAACUCAGAAUACAAAAUAAAAGAUUUUAGACAGACAGACUAUGAAUGCGAAGAUUCAUAGUCUAGAGGAAAACAGUCCAGACUAUUUGUUAAGGUCCCAAAGAAUAAUUAAGUGAAAAAGAUAGUAAUAAAAUUUUAACGAUCGGUAAGUAGGCUUGGAAGCAGCCAUCUUUUAAAGAAAGCGUAACAGCUCACUGGUUUAGUUUUUUUGCAUCUAAAAUGUAUAAGGGCUAAAAUUAUUCACCGAAACAAUAGAUUUAUAUAAAAUUAAUUAUAUAAAUGGUAGCAGAACGUUCUGUAAAUUAAAGAAAAUUCAUGAUAACAUGAAUUGGAGAUAUCAGAAGUGAGAAUGUUGAUAUGAGUAACGAUAAACAAUGUGAAAAACAUUGUCGCCUUAAGUUCAAGGUUUUCAAGAAAAGGUUAAUCCUACUUGGUAGUUUUUAUAACUAUAAUUAAUCGGUCCCUAAGAAAGAAAUGAAAAUUUUAUUUUGAUGGGUAAACAAACAAAAAUUUUUGUUUUAAAAUUAAAGUGACAAAGUACAAAUAUUAUUUAUAUUUAAUGGUUAAAAUAUAAGUUUUAUAAUACUUUCAAGAAACAGCUUUAAAAAUAUUAUGAAACCGUACCGUAAACCGACACAGGUGAGCAAAUUUAGUAAAUUAAGGCGAUUGAGUUAAUUAUAUUGAAGGAACUCGGCAAAAUGACUCCGUAACUUCGGAAUAAGGAGUAGUUGAUUUUGGGAAACCAUAAUUAACUGGCACAAAAUCGAGGACAGCGACUGUUUAUUAAAAACAUAGGUCUCUGCAAAUUCGUAAGAAGAAGUAUAGAGACUGACGCCUGCCCGGUGCUGCAAGACUAAUGUUAAAAGUUUUGGCUUUGAACAAAAAUCCCAGUAAACGGCGGCUGUAACUCUGACGGUCCUAAGGUAGCGAAAUUCCUUGGCAUUUAAUUGGUGUCCCGCAUGAAUGGCGUAACGACUGUCCUACUGUCUCCAAUAUAAUCUCAGUGAAAUUGAAAUCUCCGUGAAGAUGCGGAGUACUUACGGCUAGACGGAAAGACCCCGUGCACCUUUACUACAGCUUUGCAUUGUAAUAAAAAAUUUUGUAUGUAGGAUAUGUGGGAAGUUGUUAAAAUAUUUUUACGCCAGUAAAUUAUAAAAACGUUAGUGAAAUACCACUUUUUAUAUUUUUUAUUACUCAUUUCUCAAACAUUGUAUAGUGGGUAGUUUGACUGGGGCGGUCGCCUCCUAAAGAGUAACGGAGGCGUAUUAAGGUAAAUUCAAAUCAAAAAAAUUGAUUUUAGAGCAUAAUAGUAUAUGUUUGCCUGACUGUAAGAUUGACAAAUCAAGCAGGGACGAAAGUCGGUUAUAGUGAUCCGGUGAUUCUGUGUGGAAAAGAUCAUCGCUCAACGAAUAAAAGGUACGCCGGGGAUAACAGGCUAAUCAUUCUCUAGAGACCCUAUCGACGGAAUGGUUUGGCACCUCGAUGUUGGAUUAUCGUGUCCUGGAACUGUAGAUGGUUCCAAGGGUUUGGCUGUUCGCCAAGUAAUACGGUACAUGAUCUGAGUUUAGAACGUCGUGAGACAGUUUGGUCCCUAUCUACCGUAAGCGAAAGAAAACUAAAAGAAUUAAACCUUAGUACGAGAGGACCGGGAAAAGUGAAUCCAUGAUGUAUCGGUUGUUAUACCAAUAGCAUAGCCGAGUAGUUAUAUUCGUAAUAAAUAAUUGCUGAAAGCAUUUAAGCAAGAAGUUAAUCUUAAGAUCAGUUUUCUUUAAAAGACGUAAUAGAACAUUACGUGAUAGGCUUAAUGUUUACAAAUUGUAAAAUUUAGCUUAUAAGUACUAAAUACUUUUACGAUUUUUAAUUUUUAA